rfam:Pontibacter korlensis strain X14-1T, complete genome.
GAUUUAUAAAGAAGAGGGGAGAGAGCAGGCUCUGUGAACCUCUAGCAACCACGGCCCAGGCCGUAAAGGUGCUAACUCCUGCCCAGCUUGGGACCUAUAAAUU